GCGCAGUUCGCGGUGGAAUGUGUAUGGUCGUGUACAUGUGCGCAUGCACGCACAUACACAAAUGAAGCAUGUAAUUCGCUUGUUUCUGAGGUCAUCCGAGCAUCCAGCGACAGGUCACGAAGGUCAGCCGGAAGCGCCACAGAAGACCUCGCGCCGCACAAACCGAGAGAAAUUUGAAACUGCGUCAAAAUGGUCUCACGUCGAAGAACAACACCAAUGAGAAAGUGGAAAUUCUUGUCGGAAAUCAAGCAAGAGGGAAGUUGGUGUUAUGGCUUUGAAUCAGCGAUUACUUGAAGGAUAUGAAGUUUGUACAUGUAAAGACUGGAGAUGAAAAUCAUUAUCGAUAAUUUCUAUAAGGAAAGGUGUAGUAAUUUGGCUCUUCAUCUGCUUUGCUGAUUUUUGCUACGUUUGAAUGGCUGACUUGAGGCGACAGAGAAACUGACAGCGUAUGCUAUCACCCUCGCGCUCUUAACGCGGAGGACCUCCUUGUGUUCGUGCGCUCUCGAGUCCUUUGCCGAGGGUGAUGCAAGAGUUCCUUCACCGGCGACUCACGUAAGACGGGGUUUAGGUCAGAGUUCACAGGCGCUGCCGACCCGGGAAGCACAUUGUCUGCCUCGGCCUUUCUGGCCAGGUGCGCUCAGGGCAUCACACUCGCUAUGGGGCGCAGGCAGGACAACAGCAGGAACAAUGUCCAUAAUGGAAACAACGAUAACAGGACACGACCCACAAAACUCGACUGCAUUUGGGAAAGGAAACCACGAAAUCAAAAUAAAAACGAAACAUCUCCAAUAGCUAGAAAGGAAUCGAAACCCUUAACCAGCACCAUAUUUGUCCCCAAGCCCCUUAUGGAUUGCUUCAUCAGGAAAAGAUGAAUCCUGACGCGUAAGGAUCAUUGCAAGCAGCUGGAGGAGCGCGGGGAAGAGUCCUCGAGGCUGGCUAGCUCCCUCGCGACAGAUGAAGAGCGGUCGCCGUCAUCAACCCGCCGCUCAUUGUCCUCUGUGUACAUAUAUAUCUCCCUUUCUUGGAAUUUCUCUUGUGCUCUCUUUGGCCGUCGCCGGGCGGGAGCUGUCGCUGCCCGGACGCGCGGCGUGGAGACAGAUCCUUUUCAAAGUCAUGCCACGCGCGGGGAUCUGGAGGUGGCACGUAAUGGCACUGGAGGUGAAAAGGAUACACAUCAC